AAUGAUGUGCCUGAUAAAAAGGAUUACUGUGAUAGAGUAAAUAAUGUAUUACUUACCUUCAUUA
rnacentral:tRNA from 1 species